rnacentral:rRNA from 1 species
GAUGAACGCUGGCGGCGUGCUUAACACAUGCAAGUCGAACGAUGAAGCCCAGCUUGCUGGGUGGAUUAGUGGCGAACGGGUGAGUAACACGUGAGUAACCUGCCCUUAACUCUGGGAUAAGCCUGGGAAACUGGGUCUAAUACCGGAUAGGAGCGUCCACCGCAUGGUGGGUGUUGGAAAGAUUUAUCGGUUUUGGAUGGACUCGCGGCCUAUCAGCUUGUUGGUGAGGUAAUGGCUCACCAAGGCGACGACGGGUAGCCGGCCUGAGAGGGGGACCGGCCACACUGGGACUGAGACACGGCCCAGACUCCUACGGGAGGCAGCAGUGGGGAAUAUUGCACAAUGGGCGCAAGCCUGAUGCAGCGACGCCGCGUGAGGGAUGACGGCCUUCGGGUUGUAAACCUCUUUCAGUAGGGAAGAAGCGAAAGUGACGGUACCUGCAGAAGAAGCACCGGCUAACUACGU